GACGAACGCUGGCGGCGUGCUUAACACAUGCAAGUCGAGCGGUAAGGCCCCUUCGGGGGUACGACGAGCGGCGAACGGGUGAGUAACACGUGGGUGACCUGCCCUCAGCUCUGGGAUAAGCCUGGGAAACUGGGUCUAAUACCGGAUAUGACUCCAUGAUGCAUGUUGUGGGGUGGAAAGCCUUGUGCGGCUGAGGAUGGGCCCGCGGCCUAUCAGCUUGUUGGUGGGGUGAUGGCCUACCAAGGCGACGACGGGUAGCCGGCCUGAGAGGGCGACCGGCCACACUGGGACUGAGACACGGCCCAGACUCCUACGGGAGGCAGCAGUGGGGAAUCUUGCGCAAUGGGCGAAAGCCUGACGCAGCGACGCCGCGUGAGGGAUGACGGCCUGG
rnacentral:rRNA from 1 species